rnacentral:rRNA from 1 species
AGAGCGUGAAACUACCACGAGGUUAAAUCUGAUGAACAAUCGUGGUCGAACGGAGGUUAUCAACCCCCCGGACUUCUUGGGGCCGGAUAUCCUCGUUCGGACCUUUCCGUCGUCGUCUAGCGAGUAGCCGCCAGCUUCCCGCUGGUCACUUCCGCUGACGCGCUCGGAAGGCCGUCGGGGUCCGAAGUCACGAGUUUCUCGGGGCGCGCAAUUCCCUACCUAGUAGGCCGUCUCGGCCGUUGUUGCGUUGUCAAUGACCCGGAGGACCCGGGAAGCGGCGCGCUCCCGCCGCGCAAGAUCACAUUCGCGCGCGGCAUUACUGAGGAGCGCGUCGUGGACGCUCCGGACGUCUGACGGACGCUGGCGACGGUUAAUACUCAAAUAGACGGUGCCUGUACUGGAGGAGGCCGGCGAUGGUUCCCUGUCCCUUAAAACGGUACGUUGGGAUAUCCGGCAGGCUGGCCGCUCGCACUCGAGUGACAUACGGGAUCGUACGAGGCGCGUUAUCGUGUGCGUUCGUUCAUCAGACCCGUCUUGAAACACGGACCAAGGAGUCUAGCAUGCGCGCGAGUCAAAGGGCUGUCUAAACCCCUAGGCGAAACGAAAGUGAGAUAUACCCCCUCGUCGGCUGGUGGGCCCUAUCGGGCCGCAGCAGCUAAAAGCAGGCGGGCGCGUGGAGUUCCCCUCCCCACACGCUCCUCGCCGCCAGGUUUUUAACUUACCCGUCCUCCCGCGGUGGUUCGCGCCGCUGAAGCGGUCGAGAUGCGUGCGUGGUUGCCUGGUGGCGUUACACGGGGGGCGAGAUGGCUUGGGGGGGGCCGCUGCUGCUGCUGCUGCCGCUGUUGCUGCUUUGGGCUUCGCCGGAGGAGGCGGGCGGAGGUUUUUAGGCCGAUCCGAAGUAAUUCGAGCCGCGAACGCGAUAUUCGCGACUCUCACCCAAACGGCGCAGGCCAGGGGCCCGCUAGUUCCUUUCCGCGCUGCCGGGGGGCUGAUUUUUCCGGGCGCACGCGCUUGCCGUGGCGUUCCCAGCUUUUCCGGGGCGUCACAGAGAGCGCCCCUACGCCCUCAAUUUUCGCCCCCAACUAACGGCAGAGGAACGGACGGCGGGUCCUUUGAGCGUCCAUGCUAGUACCCGAAAGAUGGUGAUCUAUGCCUGGCCAGGAUGAAGCCAGAGGAAACUCUGGUGGAGGUCCGUAGCGAUUCUGACGUGCAAAUCGAUCGUCGGAGCUGGGUAUAGGGCGAUAGACCAAUCGA